AUGAACGCUAGCUACAGGCUUAACACAUGCAAGUCGAGGGGCAGCAUGGUCUUAGCUUGCUAAGGCCGAUGGCGACCGGCGCACGGGUGAGUAACACGUAUCCAACCUGCCGUCUACUCUUGGACAGCCUUCUGAAAGGAAGAUUAAUACAAGAUGGCAUCAUGAGUCCGCAUGUUCACAUGAUUAAAGGUAUUCCGGUAGACGAUGGGGAUGCGUUCCAUUAGAUAGUAGGCGGGGUAACGGCCCACCUAGUCUUCGAUGGAUAGGGGUUCUGAGAGGAAGGUCCCCCACAUUGGAACUGAGACACGGUCCAAACUCCUACGGGAGGCAGCAGUGAGGAAUAUUGGUCAAUGGGCGAGAGCCUGAACCAGCCAAGUAGCGUGAAGGAUGACUGCCCUAUGGGUUGUAAACUUCUUUUAUAAAGGAAUAAAGUCGGGUAUGGAUACCCGUUUGCAUGUACUUUAUGAAUAAGGAUCGGCUAACUCCGUGCCAGCAGCCGCGGUAAUACGGAGGAUCCGAGCGUUAUCCGGAUUUAUUGGGUUUAAAGGGAGCGUAGAUGGAUGUUUAAGUCAGUUGUGAAAGUUUGCGGCUCAACCGUAAAAUUGCAGUUGAUACUGGAUAUCUUGAGUGCAGUUGAGGCAGGCGGAAUUCGUGGUGUAGCGGUGAAAUGCUUAGAUAUCACGAAGAACUCCGAUUGCGAAGGCAGCCUGCUAAGCUGCAACUGACAUUGAGGCUCGAAAGUGUGGGUAUCAAACAGGAUUAGAUACCCUGGUAGUCCACACGGUAAACGAUGAAUACUCGCUGUUUGCGAUAUACGGCAAGCGGCCAAGCGAAAGCGUUAAGUAUUCCACCUGGGGAGUACGCCGGCAACGGUGAAACUCAAAGGAAUUGACGGGGGCCCGCACAAGCGGAGGAACAUGUGGUUUAAUUCGAUGAUACGCGAGGAACCUUACCCGGGCUUAAAUUGCAGAUGAAUUACGGUGAAAGCCGUAAGCCGCAAGGCAUCUGUGAAGGUGCUGCAUGGUUGUCGUCAGCUCGUGCCGUGAGGUGUCGGCUUAAGUGCCAUAACGAGCGCAACCCUUGUUGUCAGUUACUAACAGGUUCCGCUGAGGACUCUGACAAGACUGCCAUCGUAAGAUGUGAGGAAGGUGGGGAUGACGUCAAAUCAGCACGGCCCUUACGUCCGGGGCUACACACGUGUUACAAUGGGGGGGUACAGAGGGCCGCUACCACGCGAGUGGAUGCCAAUCCCCAAAACCUCUCUCAGUUCGGACUGGAGUCUGCAACCCGACUCCACGAAGCUGGAUUCGCUAGUAAUCGCGCAUCAGCCACGGCGCGGUGAAUACGUUCCCGGGCCUUGUACACACCGCCCGUCAAGCCAUGGGAGCCGGGGGUACCUGAAGUGCGUAACCGCGAGGAGCGCCCUAGGGUAAAACUGGUGACUGGGGCU
rnacentral:rRNA from 1 species